rnacentral:rRNA from 1 species
CCUACGGGUGGCAGCAGUGGGGAAUAUUGGACAAUGGGGGGAACCCUGAUCCAGCCAUGCCGCGUGUGUGAAGAAGGCCCUCGGGUUGUAAAGCACUUUCAGUGAGGAAGAACGCCUGGUGGUUAAUACCCAUCAGGAAAGACAUCACUCACAGAAGAAGCACCGGCUAACUCCGUGCCAGCAGCCGCGGUAAUACGGAGGGUGCGAGCGUUAAUCGGAAUUACUGGGCGUAAAGCGCGCGUAGGUGGCUUGAUAAGCCGGUUGUGAAAGCCCCGGGCUCAACCUGGGAACGGCAUCCGGAACUGUCAAGCUAGAGUGCAGGAGAGGAAGGUAGAAUUCCCGGUGUAGCGGUGAAAUGCGUAGAGAGCGGGAGGAAUACCAGUGGCGAAGGCGGCCUUCUGGACUGACACUGACACUGAGGUGUGAAAGCGUGGGUAGCAAACAGGAUUAGAUACCCAAGUAGUC